rnacentral:rRNA from 1 species
CAUGUCUUUUUGGGAAUUAUUUAAAGUNUAAUCUGCCCACUGAAUUUUUAAAGGGCCGCAGUAAUUUGACUGUGCAAAGGUAGCAUAAUAAUUUGUCUCUUAAUUGGAGGCUGGAAUGAAUGAUUGGACGAGGUAAAUACUGUCUCAUUAUUAAAAUAAUAAAAAUUUAGUUUUUUAGUCAAAAAGCUAAAAUUUUUUUGGAGGACGAGAAGACCCUAUAGAUCUUUAUAUUAAUAAUUAUAUUUUUAUUUUGGAUAAAAAAUUUUAAGUAUAAUUUUUAGUAUUUUGUUGGGGUGACAUGAAAAUUAAUUUAACUUUUCAUAAAUUUAAACAUGAAUUAAUGAUUAAAUGAUCCAUUUUUAUUGAUUAUAAGAUUAAGUUACCUUAGGGAUAACAGCGUUAUUUUAUUGGAGAGUUCAUAUUGAUAAUAAAGUUUGCGACCUC